AAGAAUUUAAGUUAAAUAAACUCUAAGCCUUCAAAGCUUAAAAUGCCCCCACGUAAUUCUUG
rnacentral:tRNA from 1 species